ACCACAUCCUCUUACAACACAAACUUACAACACUGAAUCUGCUAUUUGGCAUGCAUGAGACUUUCAGAAGGGAGUUGAUGAGUUAGUUAGUUAGUUAGUUAGUUAGUUUGUUAGGCCUUUAAGUUCCUUAGGGAACUUAGGCCAUUGAUGAAACCCCUCCAUCCUCUUCGGUCUUGUGCCUUCCGAUCCAGUUGUUGCCAGGUUGGCAUUUGAGAUGGUGUUGGGCCAGUAGAUUCCCAGGAGGCGUCGUAGACAGCGGUUGCCAAAUGUCUGUAGUUUGUUGAGUAUGUUGGUGGUUGUCUUCCAGUUUUCGUAAAGUCCGUAAAGUAGAGUGGAUUUGACAUUUGAUUUGAAGAUUUGUAGUUUGGUCUUGAUAUGUGUGAUAAGUGAUAUGUUGUUUUUUUCCAGAUGUUAAAAGUUCUCCUUGCUUUCCCGAUUCUGGCUUUGGCAUCCUCUUGCGAUCCUCCUUCUAUAUUAAAGGCCCACUAUGCAACUUCGGGAAUUUCUUCGCUGUUUUCUUGGUUUUGGCACGCACAUUUCUCUACACAGCGCCCCCUACAGCUUCGUAGUAGAUAUUUUACAACACUGUCGUAACAACUCGUUGACGACCCUUCCCCAUGCACUUCUACGCGAGCCAUGUGCAUUUGUUUUCAAAGAAGCCGGCGAAUGCGUGGAGCCAUGUCCGAAGUAAAUGUUCAUAAAGUGUAGGCAAGGUUAUACAUUUUUUAAAUGGUGUAUUUGUAUUGCAAUAAACAUAAAGCCAUCCUUUUUAUAGUUGACGGGGAGAAUUUAUAUCCUAGAUUAUAAUUGUUUUAUCUUAGGUUGAACAGAACAAUCAGUGUGAGAGUGUUGGCCAACAUAAUAAUCUAAUAAACAAGAACCUGGAUUCGGGGAUGCAGUCUGUAUCUGGGGGACGAGACAGACGAACAGCAAAACACCAAUGGAAACAAAGGUGUUUAUAUGGCUGCAACCAAGCAAGCUAGAAACAUACAGGGCUCACAACAAAACGGUCGAGAAAACAAUUUUUACAGGGCUCACAACAAAAUGGUUGAGCAAACACAUUUGUACAGAGACUAUCAACAUCAAGAAUACCACGAGGACAAAGUUCACCCAAGGGUACUUUCAAUUUCAAAAGCAACACGGCCAAGUCGGAGUCUGAUUUGAAGUCUUCUUUUUCUUUCAGUUCACGCUAUUCCUGUAAAGCUUGCCCAACGUUUACUCGUGUCUGGCCUCUCUGUCGGUCAGUCUCCCUUUCUCUUCUUCUGUUCCUCCGACAUUGGGUUUCUCUGUCUCUUUUUAGUC
ensembl:lncRNA